ACCACGAACCCACCAGGAGGAAGAAACUCUGAACGCAUCCGAACAUCAGAAGAAACAAACUGCGGACACGCCCUCUUUAAGAACUGAGACACUCACCGUGAGAGUCCGCAGCUUCAUUCUUGAAGUCAGUGAGACCAAGAACCCACCAAUUCCGGACAACUAGCUUCAGACUUAGCGGCAUCUAGGUUCAAAUAAUGUCAUCAGGGUCCUAUGUAUGUCUCUCUCUUUAUCCCUCAGCUCCACUUUGCUUUAUUAUCAGACAAGCUUUAUCCAGGUGGACACAAGACGGCAGUUCACGGUCUCAAGCCUGGGUACUACACACAGCCCUCAAUACCGGCUUAGGAGAAAGCAUCUUUCCCACAACCUCUGAGAAAAGACUCACGGAAAGCAGUGAUUGGCCCAUUCUUAGGAUAUAUCCAUUCCUGGACCAAUCAAUGUGGCCAGCAGGAUUGAGUCCUCUGAUUGGACAAGGCUGAGUCAUGUGACCUCCCUGAACCACAUAAACUGAAUAAUAGUGUUCUGAAAAUAGGAGAAAGUGGUUUGCAGAAAAGAUGAGGUGCUGGCCUGACCACAGUGCGUGCGCCUUGCUCAACAAACAGAAUCUGAAGAAUCCAGGAAAUCACAAAGGAUUCUAAGAGGUCACAAAGACUGAUGUUAUCAGGCCCCAAAGCUUCUACAUGAGUGUCAAGAGAAAAAAUACCUUGAUCACUCAGGUGUCCUCUCCUCAGUUUUUCUCUGUCCAGGCUUGAAGAACUAUAACCAUUUCCAAGUUCUAAAAGGACAGGUGGGGAAAUUAUUUGUUUGUUUUGAUUUCAGAAAGAUGUGAACUCCAGGAUCUCUUGAGAGACUGCCAGAGCCAGCAGCCCCAAGGAUACUUCAAACAGUGGGCACUGGUGCAAUUCUAUAAAAAGAAACCAGAAACCAUUUAGAUGUGUGUCAGGAAGAAGCUCUUCCAGUUGCUUGAGGAAAGAUGCAAGAUAGCAAGGUACUGAGUAUAAAACAAUAUGAGAGGGUCUCUCUCUUCCCUCACUGCCACUACAUCUUAUUUGUGGAAACGGUCUCAAUCCUGCUCAGAUUCAAGAGGAGAUUUGUACUUCACCUCUUGAUGGGGGUGAGACAAGCUUCUAGAAGAGCCCACAGGAUGGGAGAUGAUAUUUUGGCCAUCUUCAGAGAACACAGUUUGCCUCAGCAAACAGCAUAUUGUAUGACUUCACCAGGCUGUCCUAACUUACAAAUCCCACUUAAAAAUUACCACCCCUGGGAACCCCAUUGCAAGUUUAGAAAAAUCACUGGACUCAUGAGGUCAGGAGAUCGAGACCAACCUGGCUAACAUGGUGAAACCCUGCCUCUAUUAAAAAUGCAAAAAAUUA